GACGAACGCUGGCGGCGUGCUUAACACAUGCAAGUCGAACGGAAAGGCCCUGCUUUUGUGGGGUGCUCGAGUGGCGAACGGGUGAGUAACACGUGAGUAACCUGCCCUUGACUUUGGGAUAACUUCAGGAAACUGGGGCUAAUACCGGAUAGGAGCUCCUGCUGCAUGGUGGGGGUUGGAAAGGUUCGGCGGUUGGGGAUGGACUCGCGGCUUAUCAGCUUGUUGGUGGGGUAGUGGCUUACCAAGGCUUUGACGGGUAGCCGGCCUGAGAGGGUGACCGGGAACGUUAGGACGGGGAUGAGACACAGACCCCAAUCGGACGCGACGGUGGAGAAGAUUACACUACAGGAUGGAGCCUGAUGUGGCGACGCGGCGUGGGGGAAGUCGAGCAUUAGGUUGUUAACCGAUGCCGCAUGAGAAGGGGCGUGAGUGACGGUAAUGGGUAAAGAAGCACCGGCUAACUACGUG
rnacentral:rRNA from 1 species